AGAUAGAGAGAGGAAAACAGAGAUACAUAAGUGCGUGUUGGCAGGAUCGUUAUAAACCGGAUCCCCCAUGGCGUCGGAUUAAUCGCAUGAAAGCUCGAUCGAUGGUAUCCCGGCGAGAGAUGAUUACUUAUUUAUGUAAAUACAUGUAAAUAUUUGUACCUGCGAC